UUGCUUUAGCAGCAUGUAUACUAGAAUUAGAAUGAGAGACAGAGACGAUGGCAUGGCCCUUGUGCAAGGAUGACAUGCAAAUUUAUCCCAUGUUCCUUUUUUUU